rnacentral:misc_RNA from 1 species
ACAAAUCUAUUGAGUGCAGCAGUCCUAGCGACUGCAUGCACACAUAAGCCCUAAAGCGUAGCACUUCGGUGUGACCGCUUUAGUGUGUUUGGAGGAGUCGAUCUUUUCGAUUCCUCCACAGGUCAUCCUUCUGGGUGACCACAUUGACGCUUGUAUGUUUGACAGAGUUUAUUAUGACAAUAAAAAUAGA